UGACCUCGGAUCAGGUAGGAAU
rnacentral:rRNA from 3 species